UGUAGCUUCCGGGGCUCAGGGAGUGGGCGGUGUGGUAAUUCAUACUAGUCCCCGAAGGUCACAGGUCCCUCCGCACAGCCUCUGUCAACCCCUACCCCCCACCCCCAGUCGGACACACAGCCCACUGAGACAUCCCAGGCCUGAGCCCGGCACGCGACUCCCAGCCGCCCCUUGGGGAGCAGCGAGACAGCAUUCCUUCUGCCCGCAGGCCACCUCUCCUGCCAAGGAGCGCGUGCUGGCGCAAGGCCGAAAGCCGAGGCCACUGUUGGCUUUGGCUGCUGAAGGUAGCCCGGGGCCAAGGCAUUGUGUCCAGCCAGCCCUUGCUAGGGAAUAAACUCUUACGGGAUCAGCAAGGCCCCAGGGCCCAGCCCUCUCCUCCUGGAUCCAGAGUCAGGGCCAAAGCAACUCCCCUUGCCUAGCCACAGCCCCUCCUAAGACGCGGGCGGCUGGAGCCCUGGGCUCCGGGCAUGGCUCAGCUCGAAGCAGUGCAGUCCUUUUGAUAGAAAUUCAUGUCUACCUGGAACCGCAGUCCUUUUAUACACUCUGGGUGGCUGAGUCUGAGAAAGGCAGCGUGGAGACCCGCGUCAAACUUGGCCUUUACCAGGCCACUCCCGCCCUCCCUCCCACUGUCAUCGCUUUCAAAGCCACACCUGCAGUCAAAGCCCAUACCCUCCAGUUGAGGCCAUCGGUGCCAGGAAAGGGGCUGGGGCGGGGGUGGGGGCGGAGACGGGGUGGACAGAGAGAGGCAGGAACCCAGGUCCGCUGUCCCUUGGGACCAGCUUCAACGGACACCAAAGCAAGUUGUUCCCUGUGUCUGCGGGGAGGAGGCAUGAGAGUCGGCGACUGGCUGGGCUCCGCCUGCAUUGAAGGGAGGGAGGGCCACCAGACCUGGGUUCCUGGGGGUCCCCGCUCGCCCCAGGUCUCUCCGUGCAGGGCACAGACAGUCCUUCACCUCCUGGGGGCUCUUAACUGGGAGGCCUUCCCCUCCCCCCUUCCGUCCAG
rnacentral:lncRNA from 1 species